AAGGUUUCUCUGUAUAUUCUAGCUGUCCUGGAACUCACUCAGGCUAGACUGAAACUCAGAGAUUCACCUGCUUCUGCCUCCUGAGUGCUGGGAUUAAAGGAGAGUGCUACCACACUCGACUAACGCUGUACUCUGAAAGACAUUAGCAUACUUACAACAAGAUGAGAGGCAGAGAGAAGAGAAGUGCCUGGAAACUCAUGGCCCAGCUUUGGAUAUGCAGCACAGCAGCAGAAAGAAGAGAUCCUGCCUUAACAAGGUGGAGGAUAAGAAUCAAUGGACCCUGAACAUUGUUCUCUGACCUCCACACAAGUACCAUCCCACAACUGAAAGAAAGAAAGGAAGAAAGAAAGAAAGAAAGAGAGAGAAAGAGAAAGAAGGA